UACCCAUGAGAAGUUUGUCUUUAUUAAGAACAAACAUAACAUGGUGUCAGAAACCGGCUUGAGGUCUAAGCAAAGACAAUAAAUGAAUACCGAGUAUAGCUGGGAAAGACUGCGUAAGUAUGGAAGGCGUUAGAAGCAAGCAAGAUCGGACAGCAAGUCGGGUGACAGAGCACAUUGUUCCAAGAACAUCAGAUACACCAAGAAAUUCAGGUUCUUAAACCACCUCAGAGACUAAUUGAAAGUUGCUGAGAGAAAACGGGGACUGGCUACAGAUUGUUAAAGGAAAGCCUUCACCUGGUGGAUUAAUCUGCUAUGAUGUUAAUCUUGCUCUCCUCUACCCCUCCCCCUCCUCUACUGCAACUGUUUAUAAUCACCAUCUGGUGUGAUACUCAGCAAUCCAGACUAACAGUAUCCCAAACUUAGGAUCUGCUGCAACAAAAAGAAAAGAAAAGAAUGCUGGAAGAACUCAGCAGUUCAAGCAACUGCGAGUGAAGGCAAAAGACAUGUGUCAACAUUUUGGAAAGUGAACCAGCAUGAGGACCCAAAACACGAUGGCGCCAGUGAACGCAGCAACGUGUUGCGGGCUGCUUACAAAAUUUCUACAUAUACCUCUUCUGAAUUGCACUCACUGUAAUAUCUGCUGUGUUCAACCAAACAACAACUUCAUUUGAAACAGGGGGAGUGAUAAUAGAAUUAUCCUUGAGGCUCUCAGUCCAGAGAAGGUGGGAGUAAAUGUUUUGGAGAUCUGCUCCUGACUGAGACUGAUUGAUUCCUGCUGGAAAAUGCAGGGAAUUAGUUGAGCACAGGCCUGCAUUCAGUUGUGGUGCUCCUGCGGUCAACUCGUCUGCAAAUGCAAUCAGUGUUUAAUGUCUGGCUCCCACGGAGUGCAGCUAGUCAAACUGUACACUGGCAUUACCCAAAAUCUUCAAGAGAGAAAAAAAUUACAAUUCACACAGCGAGCCUCAAUGGCCACAAAGAAAGGGAAUACAUUGAUUGAAUGGUGAAUGUAAUCCAAAUAUAAACUGGAAUUUAAACCACUUAUGUCAUCAUGUUCUUAUCUAAUGUGAGUGCUGUCUUAGUUGUGGAAAUUCUAGAUUCUCUGUAGGUGUGUUGAAAAUAGUCUAUUGGUGAAUUCCCAGAGAUGUUACACAGUCCAUAGAGAACUGACUAAGCUUUCACUGAGAGCUUUUCAAAAUGCUUUGAAAAUAAUGUCACUAAGAUAGCUGAUUUGAUUAUGUUACAGGAUAUGAGAAAACAAAUUCUUGCUUUAUUAAUGCCAUUA